rnacentral:rRNA from 1 species
AGAGUUUGAUCCUGGCUCAGGAUGAACGCUAGCGGCAGGCCUAAUACAUGCAAGUCGAGGGAGAAGUUGCUUUCGGGCAGCAGGAACCGGCGAACGGGUGCGUAACACGUAUGCAACCUACCUAUAACUGGGGGAUAGCCCGAAGAAAUUCGGAUUAAUACCCUAUAAUAUUUACUCAUCGCAUGAUGUGGUAUCUUAAAACUCCGGUGGUUAUAGAUGGGCAUGCGGUCUAUUAGUUUGUUGGUAAGGUAACGGCUUACCAAGACUACGAUAGAUAGGGGGUCUGAGAGGAUGAUCCCCCACACUGGUACUGAGACACGGACCAGACUCCUACGGGAGGCAGCAGUAGGGAAUAUUGGACAAUGGACGAAAGUCUGAUCCAGCCAUGCCGCGUGCAGGAAGACGGCCCUAUGGGUUGUAAACUGCUUUUAUAUAGGAAGAAACCUUUUCACGUGUGAGAAGCUGACGGUACUAUAAGAAUAAGGACCGGCUAACUCCGUGCCAGCAGCCGCGGUAAUACGGAGGGUCCAAGCGUUAUCCGGAAUCAUUGGGUUUAAAGGGUCCGUAGGCGGGCUAUUAAGUCAGAGGUGAAAGUUUGCAGCUCAACUGUAAAAUUGCCUUUGAAACUGGUAGUCUUGAAUUAUUAUGAAGUGGUUAGAAUAAGUAGUGUAGCGGUGAAAUGCAUAGAUAUUACUUAGAAUACCAAUUGCGAAGGCAGAUCACUAAUAAUAUAUUGACGCUGAGGGACGAAAGCGUGGGGAGCGAACAGGAUUAGAUACCCUGGUAGUCCACGCCGU